rnacentral:rRNA from 1 species
CAGCCGCCACGGUAAUACAGAGGGUGCAAGCGUUAAUCGGAAUUACUGGGCGUAAAGCGCGCGUAGGUGGUUUGUUAAGUUGGAUGUGAAAGCCCCGGGCUCAACCUGGGAACUGCAUCCAAAACUGGCAAGCUAGAGUACGGUAGAGGGUGGUGGAAUUUCCUGUGUAGCGGUGAAAUGCGUAGAUAUAGGAAGGAACACCAGUGGCGAAGGCGACCACCUGGACUGAUACUGACACUGAGGUGCGAAAGCGUGGGGAGCAAACAGGAUUAGAUACCCCUGUAGUCCCUGUCUCUUUACA